CAGUCGCCGCGGGAAUACGAAGGGGGCUAGCGUUGCUCGGAAUUACUGGGCGUAAAGGGCGCGUAGGCGGAUUGUUAAGUUGGAGGUGAAAGCCCAGGGCUCAACCUUGGAACUGCCUUCAAUACUGGCAAUCUUGAGUAUGAGAGAGGUGUGUGGAACUCCGAGUGUAGAGGCGAAAUUCGUAGAUAUUCGGAAGAACACCAGUGGCGAAGGCGACACACUGGCUCAUUACUGACGCUGAGGCGCGAAAGCGUGAGGAGCAAACAGGAUUAGAUACCCGUGUAGUCCCUGUCUCUUAUAC
rnacentral:rRNA from 1 species